CGACCGGCGCACGGGUGCGUAACGCGUAUGUAACCUACCUAUAACAGGGGCAUAACACUGAGAAAUUGGUACUAAUUCCCCAUAAUAUUCGGAGAGGCAUCUCUCCGGGUUGAAAACUCCGGUGGUUAUAGAUGGACAUGCGUUGUAUUAGCUAGUUGGUGAGGUAACGGCUCACCAAGGCAACGAUACAUAGGGGGACUGAGAGGUUAACCCCCCACACUGGUACUGAGACACGGACCAGACUCCUACGGGAGGCAGCAGUGAGGAAUAUUGGUCAAUGGACGCAAGUCUGAACCAGCCAUGCCGCGUGCAGGAAGACGGCUCUAUGAGUUGUAAACUGCUUUUGUACGAGGGUAAACUCACCUACGUGUAGGUGACUGAAAGUAUCGUACGAAUAAGGAUCGGCUAACUCCGUGCCAGCAGCCGCGGUAAUACGGAGGAUUCAAGCGUUAUCCGGAUUUAUUGGGUUUAAAGGGUGCGUAGGCGGUUUGAUAAGUUAGAGGUGAAAUCCCGGGGCUUAACUCCGGAACUGCCUCUAAUACUGUUAGACUAGAGAGUAGUUGCGGUAGGCGGAAUGUAUGGUGUAGCGGUGAAAUGCUUAGAGAUCAUACAGAACACCGAUUGCGAAGGC
rnacentral:rRNA from 1 species